rnacentral:rRNA from 1 species
GGGAGUAGCUCGGCGAAAGCCGGAUUAAUACCGCAUACGACCUGAGGGUGAAAGCGGGGGAUCUUCGGACCUCGCGCUAUUGGAGCGGCCGAUGGCAGAUUAGCUAGUUGGUGGGGUAAAGGCCUACCAAGGCGACGAUCUGUAGCUGGUCUGAGAGGACGACCAGCCACACUGGGACUGAGACACGGUCCAG